CCUACGGUGUGCUGCAGUGGGGGAUAUUGCACAAUGGGGGGAACCCUGAUGCAGCGACGCCGCGUGGGUGAAGGAGUGCUUCGGCAUGUAAAGCCCUAUCGGCAGGGACGAAGCAAGACGGUAACUGACUAAGAAGCACCGACUAACUACGUGCCAGCAGCCGCGGUAAUACGUAGGGGGCGAGCGUGAUCCGGAUUCACUGGGUGUAAAGUGAGCGCAGACGGCGAUGCAAGCCAGUAGUGAAAGCCCGGGGCCCAACCCCGGGACUGUGCUUGGAAGUGCGUGGCUGGAGUGCAGGAGGGGCAGGCGGAAUUCCUGGUGUAGCGGUGAAAUGCGUAGAUAUUAGGAGGAACACCGGUGGCGAAGGCGGCCUGCUGGACUGCAACUGACGUUGAGGCCCGAAAGCGUGGGGAGCAAACAGGAUUAGAUACCCCAGUAGUC
rnacentral:rRNA from 1 species